GCGGUGGAGCAUGUGGUUUAAUUCGAAGCAACGCGAAGAACCUUACCAGGUCUUGACAUCCCUUGACAACCUCAGAGAUGAGGUCUCUCUUCGGAGCAAGGAGACAGGUGGUGCAUGGUUGUCGUCAGCUCGUGUCGUGAGAUGUUGGGUUAAGUCCCGCAACGAGCGCAACCCUUGCCUUUAGUUGCCAUCAUUAAGUUGGGCACUCUAGAGGGACUGCCGGUGACAAACCGGAGGAAGGUGGGGAUGACGUCAAAUCAUCAUGCCCCUUAUGUCCUGGGCUACACACGUGCUACAAUGGUCUGUACAGAGGGAAGCGAAGCAGCGAUGUGAAGCGAAUCCCAGAAAACAGAUCUCAGUUCGGAUUGUAGGCUGCAACUCGCCUACAUGAAGCUGGAAUCGCUAGUAAUCGCAGGUCAGCAUACUGCGGUGAAUACGUUCCCGGGCCUUGUACACACCGCCCGUCACACCACGAAAGUUUGCAACACCCGAAGCCGGUGGCCUAACCCGCAAGGGAGGGAGCCGUCGAAGGUGGGGCAGAUGAUUGGGGUGAAGUCGUAACAAGGUAGCCGUAUCGGAAGGUGCGGCUGGAUCACCUCCUU
rnacentral:rRNA from 1 species